rnacentral:rRNA from 1 species
UCGAGAAUAUUCCACAAUGGGCGAAAGCCUGAUGGAGCGACGCCGCGUGCAGGAUGAAGGCCCUCGGGUUGUAAACUGCUUUUCUAUGAGAAGAAGCUACUUUGUAGUGUGACGGUACCAUAGGAAUAAGGGGCGGCAAACUUCGUGCCAGCAGCCGCGGUAAUACGAAGGCCCCGAGCGUUAUCCGGAUUUAUUGGGCGUAAAGGGCGCGUAGGCGGCUCGGUGCGUCUUAUGUUAAAUCUCACUGCUUAACGGUGAAAUCGCAUAAGAUACGACCUUGCUUGAGAGUGUUAGAGGUUGAUGGAACUCAUGGUGUAGGGGUGACAUCCGUUGAUAUCAUGGGGAACACCGAAGGCGAAGGCAUUCAACUGGGACAUUUCUGACGCUGAGGCGCGAAAGC